rnacentral:rRNA from 1 species
GACGUAGGGCGCGAGCGUUGUCCGGAUUUAUUGGGCGUAAAGAGCGUGUAGGCGGCCAUGCAGGUCCGUUGUGAAAACUCGGGGCUUAACUCCGAGACGUCGAUGGAAACCGCAUGGCUAGAGUCCGGAAGAGGAGAGUGGAAUUCCUGGUGUAGCGGUGAAAUGCGCAGAUAUCAGGAAGAACACCCGUGGCGAAGGCGGCUCUCUGGGACGGUACUGACGCUGAGACGCGAAAGCGUGGGGAGCGAACAGG